CGGCCGGCGGAGAGGGGGAGGAUGGGCGGCGACGCGGAGGAGGCCAUGAGACUAGAAGGUGACUCUGGUUUUGACUUGGAGAGCGAGAAGGAAGCGGUUUUGGACUCGUUAAAGGAUCUAUCAUACCCACGCAUAAUGGAUUUCGAUUGGUUCGAAUCUAGAAUGCAGCAGUGUCAAUUUUGUCCAGCUCACAGUUUUUUUUUGCCUAAUCUGUUUUUCAUCUAUCGCGAGUCGAUCCCUAUUUAUUUCACAUUCAUGACUUUAUCUUCUACUCAUCUAAUAUUUUGGAGGCAGAAAUCUUGUUAUAGAGACAGAAAUCUUGUACGAGAUAGCUCAUUGAAGGGGAUCUAAAUACUAGUUUUUUU
rnacentral:lncRNA from 1 species